UAAAGAAAAAAUUGAAUUCAAAGUGGGUGAGGAGGAGAAGAGAACCAGCCCUGUGAAUGAGUCAGUUUCCGUAUUUAUAUAUUUUUAGAGAGAAUCACAGAUUUUGUCAGUUUAGUCAUCUGUAAAGGCUGAAGAAUAGGAUCCUCUUCAUCUCUUUUCCUUUGUGCCUUUAUGGUUUUUUUUCUUUAUUUUCUUUUUCAAGAAUUAUGGUUUAUUUGUUAGGCUUUCUUAUUAUUGAAUUACGAUACUUUAGUUACAACUGUGUGUGUAUUAUAACAAAUUUAAUUAGUUUUUUAAAUUUGGAUAUCACAUUGUAUAAAUUCUAAAAUAUUCAACGGAUGAGAUCCACUAUAAUAUAUGUAUUUAGUUACUGAUUUCAAAAUAUUAAGUAAAAAUCACAUGUUUAACUCUUAAUAUUCCUCUAUUUGAAAACAAAAACAAUUAAAUAGUAAAGUUUUAAAUUAUAAAAAUUCUAAUAUAAUAUUUUCAAAUUAAAAAUGAGUAGUAAUUAAUUACCGUGUUUCAAGCAAAUACCAUUUUUCUUGCAAUUAUAUAUGUGUAUAAUUAUUAUUAUUAUAAAUAGUAUUGAUAAUAAAUAAGAUAAUGAAAUAAAACUUUUCCAUUAUUGGUGGCACUUUGUCCUUGUGAAGAAAGCAAUAUAUCAUGCACCUUGUGUGAUUUAGACCUAUAAGUAUAGUACUAUCUUUAUAAAUAAAUAAUAAAAGAAUACUAUGCAUUUAAUAUUGGCCAAAAUGGUCACAACUGUAGGAUAUGAAUAUGAAUAUAGACUUAUAUAGGUUUGUAGAUAUUCCACAAUGAACAAAUUAUUGAUUCACUGUAUAGGAAGAAUGUAGUGGUUAAAUAACACUGUAUUAUGACUUUAGUAAUCACUUUCCCACAAUUACAGUUUACACGUUUUCACGAAACCUCUAAAUUGUAAAGCAAAAUUGGUUUUUUUUUUGAGAAGCCUCUGGUGGGUUUCUCCCAAAUAUGAGAAACUUCUAUGAAAAACAUCGAUUCGUCCUCUUAAUAAUUAUAACACUGUUUUAGUAAUUAAUCUAUUUGACCGGAAAGGAAUUGCAAUCCAAAUCCCUUAAGUAGAGUUAAUUUUUUUUUUUAACAACUAAAGUAGAGUUAAUUGAUUGAGAAGAAAAUGCAAUAAAAGUAAGAAAAGUAACUAUAUUUUAUUUUUGGGAGAGACUACAUACAAGUCACGAUUGUAAUGUUUGUGCAACGUAGUUGUAACUCGUAACUGUAGGGCAGGUCAUUUUCUUUGUUUUGUAGCUAAUUUUUUCUCCUCUUUUAUCCUUAUCUCAUCUUUUUGCCUGAAAACUUUAAAUUCCUAGGAAAAAGUUUUCCAUAUAAAUAUAAAUCUCUGAACUUUGCACAUGCAAUAUAUAGAUACGAGGGCCAUUAUAUGCUAAACCGACACUACUAAUUCAUUUCCACAGCAAUAUUGACGGGUAUUCAAAUUACGAAAAAAAAAUAGAGAAAUAAAAAAAAAAAUCUUUUUUCAAUACUAUCAACAUACACAUAACAACAAAAUUCAUACAAAAUUAAAAUAUAUAUACUGAUUGAAAUUUCAUUUCCCUAUGCCAUUUCAAAGGACAUAUGUAUGCAUGUAUAUUUAUUACAUUUGGUUUUAUUAUGGUUAUGAAAACAUAGUUAAUAAUAGGAGAGUUAGUGCUUAGAAGAACAGAGAGGCAAGCAAUGUGGGAGAGGGCCUAUGGUGAUGGUGGUGGACCCACGUGCUGCUCACCCACCACAACCCACGAGCCAUUUCUCUCCUUGGGGCGGCUCCUUCUGCAACUAAUGCUUUCGGCAAAGUGGACAUGGAUGGACGCAUUUGAGAGCUGAGACUCUUUAGUAUGGUACUUUAUUCACAUAACGAUAAAAAUAAUGAAAAAAAAUUAUUAUAGCGUUACAGUGUUUGGUAUUAUUAAGUAGUAAGUAGGUGAUGUAAUUUGAAUUGGAUACGUACGUAUGUUUGUUGAUUUGAUUUGAAAGAUUGGAUAAUAUCUACCCUAGACACAAAAUUAUAAAAAAGAGUGAUUAAGAUGGCAGUGUCUUGUUUGUGUA